rnacentral:lncRNA from 1 species
ACAUUAUACAAGCCUAAGUCGUAUCAUGAACUUCUGAAGAGAAUAGAGCCCAACUUGUGUUUUACUUUUAAACUUACUGUCUUCUAUACCUAUGUUUUACACAAUUAUAAGAUUAUUCUUAUUUUUAAAGAGAUCUAGAAAUGAAACCCCUGAAAGAGACUUCUCCCUCUACUUGCCCAUAAAGAUCCUCCAGUUUUCCGCACAGGCUUUUUCCUAGACAUGGAGGAAGUGCCCAGAAAAAUACUGGACGGAUAUACAAAAACAUAAUGCCACAAAAAUUUUCCUAACAAGUAAGGCAGCUGCGGAAAGUCGGCCAGCGUCCCGACCCCAGGGACCUGCAGCC